AAAUUGAAGAGUUUGAUCAUGGCUCAGAUUGAACGCUGGCGGCAGGCCUAACACAUGCAAGUCGAACGGUAACAGGAAGCAGCUUGCUGCUUUGCUGACGAGUGGCGGACGGGUGAGUAAUGUCUGGGAAACUGCCUGAUGGAGGGGGAUAACUACUGGAAACGGUGGCUAAUACCGCAUAACGUCGCAAGACCAAAGAGGGGGACCUUC
rnacentral:rRNA from 20 species